AAGUCGUAACAAGGUUUCCGUAGGUGAACCUGCGGAAGGAUCAUUAUUGAAAAAACUUGGUCGAGCUGUUGCUGGUCCUUCGGGGCAUGUGCACGCUUGCCACCAAUUUUUAACCACCUGUGCACCUCUUGUAGACUGGAAGCAAUUCUCGAGGCGACUCGGUUUGAGGACUGCUGUGCGAAAGCCGGCUUUCCUUGUGUUUCUCAGUCUAUGUUUUAUUAUACCCCGAAUGUAUGUAUCAGAAUGUAUUGCUGGGCCUUCGUGCCUAUAAAUCAAAUACAACUUUCAACAACGGAUCUCUUGGCUCUC
rnacentral:misc_RNA from 1 species